CUCGUAGGCGGUUUGGAAAGUCAGGUGUGAAAACUUCAGGCUCAACCUGGAGACGCCACUUGAUACUUCUAUGACUCGAGUUUGGUAGGGGAACACGGAAUUCCUGGUGUAGCGGUGAAAUGCGCAGAUAUCAGGAGGAACACCGAUGGCGAAGGCAGUGUUCUGGGCCAAAACUGACGCUGAGGAGCGAAAGCGUGGGGAGCGAACA
rnacentral:rRNA from 1 species